UGAGCGCGGCUGAGCUGCAGGAUGAGAUCUGCAGGCACCUGGCCCAAGACUGCCCCACGCUGCUGGAGAGGCUCUGGAGCACAGCCCGGAGCUGCUGCAUGGGGAGCUGCGUGGCGCCGCAGGCGGCAGCCGUCCACGUCCUGGGCCUCCUCCUGGACACAGCGCCGA